UUCUUGGACAUUGAACUCUGCAUCUUGCUUUGCUGGCACUCACACAGUCUAUAAUUAUUUAAUGUAGUCAUUCAUUUACUUAUUUAUGGUCUGUCUGUCCUUCUAAAAUGUAAGCAUCAUGAGGGUAGGAACCCUGUCUAUCUUGUUUACCAGCACCUGGCUCUGUGGAUUAAGAACAAACAUUUGAAGACACAUAGCCUCCUUUUACCACCUACAGGCUGUGGAACCUUAGGCCAGUCACUGAGCCUCUGGCUCCUUAUCUGUAAAAUGAGAAUAAAGGAGGGUUGUUGCGCGGAUGAAUGAGAUAACACACCAGCAAAGCACUUAGCACAGUGCAAACGUAUAGAAAAACGCAUGGAUAGGUAGGGGAGCAGAGAGCCGAUGGCAUCUGUGCCUAAGCUUCCCUAUUUUUCUGUGAACCAGAAAGCAGAGCCAUCUGCUGGGGGAAGAUGUUGGAGGUUUGGAAUAGAUGCUGAGAAGAGGAGGAGGUGGAGCCGUGCAGAGCAAGCAGCUGACUCUGGGACUUUAACGCCAGCAGCCACACCAUUGUGGUGUUAAGACCAUGGCGGGACAUUGCCAAUGAAACGUCCGCAAAACGGGGAGGAAGAUCAUGGAGGAGGCAGGGGCAGGGAGAAAAGUGGGAAGGCCAUUUAGCAGAAAAGCAAAAAUAUCUGUCAUUGAGAAUUUUGGAAUGUUUGUGCUGGAGGCAGAGAGGAGGAAAAUGUAAAAAGUCUGAAAAAAAAAAAAAGCCGCCGUCUGUCUGGGGCACCAGCACGCAGUCAUUCGAGACCACAGAGUGACACCUAGUGGACACCUGGGAAGAUGCUUCCUGCAGGGGAGCUCGGCGCCGCCCGCCCAAGUGGUUUCGUAGAGCUGGGGAUGCCGAGCGCAGGAAGGACCCGGGCCCGGUGCUCGCCGCUCGGAGCUGCCCCCGAUCCGCCCUGGGAGGACGCCCGGGGAGAGUGCUGUGCCGGGACUCCGGAGUCCAGUCCUGGCCCAGAUGCCAGCUGGGAGACCUCGCACGGGAAACUGUGUCUGUCGGGAAGCGGGGAGAGGCUCUUCCCUCGGCUCCACCGCUCUGGAUUCCCCCCUCUGCCAGCCCCCAGCCCCGCUCCGCACAGCCCCUGCCUCCGCUGUUCUGCCCGCCCUCCUUGGGGGACUGCGGUGAGCUCGGAGGACGGGCAAACUCCUGCGAGCAGAAGGCCCACCUUUCAAGUUUUCAUAUUACCUCCAACGCAAGGCUGAAUCCGAUCACCGAUGCCAAGCUACGGGCACAGUGCUUUGCUGGCGGUGAGCGCUCUAAGAAAGCUCUGUCGGAGGAAAGAGUCCUGGAUCUUGAGUCAGGAUUCCAGCCCCGUGUAAACACAAGCACCUCGGGAACUGGAGCCGAGGAGUUCUUCUAGAAAGUUCUAGACUGUUCCUUAGUCAAAAUUAGCCCCUUUACAAUUUUACCCCAUUUGUCCUUGUUCAGCCUUCUGAAGCGGUUCAGAAUAACUAUUUUUAUGCGACGCCUGCAAACACCUUUUAUGCUCCCUGUAAAUAUUGCCAUUUUGGGCUAAAUGUGCUCAACUUCAUUCUUUACAGCAGUGGUUCUCAAACAAGGAUUUUGCCCCUGAGGGCACAUGUGGCAGUGUCUGGAGACCUUUCGGUUGUCACACCUUGAGGAGGGAGGCUGCUACUGACAUCUAGUGGGCAGAGGCCUAGAUGCAGCCAACCUCCUGCAGGGCUCCCGGCGGGCCCCACCCCCACCACGCACACAAAGAACUAUCCAUUGCAGAAUGCACGCGUGCUGAGGUCGUGGAGCCCUGCUUGAGACAGCUGGGACUUCUUAGCAUCCCCGUCCAUUCUGCGGACGCUCUUCAUUCAUCGGCGACGUUUGUACCGCGAUGUGGUACAGAACUCCAGACCAGCUCUGACCAGCCUGGGCAUCUUGGGGUGUACACACGGGACGUCCCUCAGUGGAGCGUAGAGAUUAGAUCAACCCUCCAAGCAAUCUUUUGCUCAUAUGGCGAGUCUGUCCUUACUGUUUACGAACAAAGAACUUAUGGACAAACGUGCGUACAAUUAAAUAAA
rnacentral:lncRNA from 1 species